GACGAACGCUGGCGGCGUGCCUAAUACAUGCAAGUAGAACGCUGAAGGCGGAGCUUGCUCUUCUGGAUGAGUUGCGAACGGGUGAGUAACGCGUAGGUAACCUGCCUGGUAGCGGGGGAUAACUAUUGGAAACGAUAGCUAAUACCGCAUAACAGUAGAUGUUGCAUGACAUUUACUUAAAAGGUGCAAUUGCAUCACUACCAGAUGGACCUGCGUUGUAUUAGCUAGUUGGUGGGGUAACGGCUCACCAAGGCGACGAUACAUAGCCGACCUGAGAGGGUGAGCGGCCGCACUGGGACUGAGACACGGCCCAGACUCCUACGGGAGGCAGCAGGAGGGAAUCGUCGGCAAUGGACGGAAGUCUGACCGAGCAACGCCGCGUGAGGGAAGAAGGUUUUCGGAUCGUAAAGCUCUGUUGUAAGAGAAGAACGAGUGUGAGAGUGGAAAGUUCACACUGUGACGGUAACUGAUCAGAAAGGGACGGCUAACUACGUG
rnacentral:rRNA from 1 species